UCAAUUCACAGGGGCUGUUACACAGGGACUGCUUAAUGAAACUCGUUGAUUGAAUGAAUGAGUUAAUGAAUUCAAUGAAAUCAAGGAAGGCUUCUUGGAGGAGGUGGACCUUAACUUACUGGGCUGAAAAGAAGACACUUGAGGAGGCUGCAGCAGGGAGAGGAGCAGCCUGGCAGUUAAAAUCAGAGACAGACUUGAACCUGGAGAGAUCCUGAGGCCUCCUGCGUGGACCGCGAGAACUGCUGUGGGCGUCCAGCUAUAAUGAAAUAUUUCGAGCACAGGACAGAAUACACUGCCUGCCCCUUUCCCAUCUCAUCUCCCUUCUUUUCUCCCCAGAGGUAAGUUUCUUUAUGAUUCUGUUGCUUAUUUUCAUUGUUUUCCACAUAUUUAGGUGUCACUAAACAAUGUAUUGUUUAAUUUUGCAUGUUUUUGGGUUUUGCAUAAAUGCCAGUAGAGUGUAUAUUAUAGCUCAGGAGUGCCAAGAAAUCUCUCUCUCUUUUUUUUUUGGUGAGGAAGAUUGGCCCUGAGCUAAAAUCUGUUGCCAAUCCUGCUCUUUUUGCUUGAGGAAGAUUGUUGCUGAGCUAAAAUCUGUGCCCAUCUUCCUCUAUUUUGUAUGUGGGAGGCCACCACAGCAUGGCUUGAUGAGUGGUGUGUAUGUCCGCACCCAGGAUCUGAACCGGCACACCCCAGGCCACUGAAGUGGAUUUAGCAAACUUAACCACUACGCCACCGGGCCAGCCCCAAGAGUGCCAAGAAAUCUUGUGGGGACUGGUCACCUGAUGACCCUGGAUGGAUCACCACAGAUUUAAGUUGAUCCUGGUGUGCUAUGUAGACAGUAGAAGUAUUUUCAUUUUCUAAGUGAAUCAAGACAUUAAGAAAGGCUAGGAAGCCAUUGCUUUUAUUUUUCAUUCCUCGUAAGUUUGCGAGAGUCAGCAGUGAAGGUGUGUUUAUUUCUCGUUUGUUCAUUUUUACUGCUGUAUAGUAUUUCCUUGUGUGAGUUUAUCGCAAGUUACAGUGCCUCCCCAUCAUCCCAUGGAUAGAUAUUUGAG
rnacentral:lncRNA from 1 species